GAGCCAGGUGUAGGAUCUGAUUGGUUAAACUCAGCUGUGCGCCGAAGCUUGAUUUUCGAUGGUGGGCGAUAUCCGACUAUUAUUAAAAAGUCAUUUUCAAGGCGCGCCUUUCAAUUAAAAAAAAAAAAAGGAAUAUAUGAGACUUGGUUAACCAAAACAGUUUUGCUAAGUGGCUUGUUUCAAUACAGACGUUUUUGGGGGAGCACUAUUAGAGUAGUUAUCUAUGAGACGAACAACUAGCAUAUAGUUAGCAUACACGGACUGACGGGAGCCUCCUCGUCAACAUCUGUGUUGGAGGUGGUUGAGCUCAUCAAGUACAAACGAAAGGCCCACGUCGGAGACUCAGCGCCUGCCACUGAUUGACACCAACUUGGACAUUUUCAACAAGGUAUGUGUGCUCACUUUUACUGUCAGUGGUUUAACUUUAUGGCUGCGUGUUGAGUUAUUUUGAGGGGACAGUAAAUUCACACUGUUCAACAAGCUGUACACCCAUUAUCUCGAGGCCCAGAGGCCAGAUCCGGCCUGCCAAGUCAUUUUAUGUGGCCCGCGAAGGCAAAUCAUGUGUGUCAACUUACGAAAUCUGUACUGAAAUGUCAAAUUGUCAUGUGCAAUAACGUUGAGAUUUUUGCAAUAAUGUUGUUCCACUGUUACACUCAUUUGAACAAAAAUUGAACCAACUAUUCAACACUUUCACAUUGAGCCAAUGAUUUAUUAACUUUUUUUAAUGGGAUAAAAUCUAUACUUGCAAAACGUGCAUGUUUACUUGAAUAAAUAAAAAAAAUCUCUGUAUAAUCCGAAAUAGAUUUACCGUGUUUCGGAGAGGAGCUCAAAGCUGCUCAUAGGAGUCUUUGAAAGUUGACGAUCAUCCCUCGAGUUAAUACGGCUUAUAAUAAGCCUAUUUGGACUAGCCUCACUGUAUUUUUUUCCCCCAACAAUAGAGUUGCUCUUUGCAAAAACAUGACCAGGGGGGGAAAAAAAAGAUGCUGAUAAUUUGCUUUGGCGCUUGCGUGCACCUCAUAAGAGAACGGGCAAGUUGAAGCUGGUAUGUGGCACCGACGACCUCACCGGGUCGACAGGUUCAUCAAGUUUGGAGUGUAUUCACUGAGACUGACAGACUCCUGAGUAAUAGAGUACGGAUACUUUUUUUUUGUUACUCUAAAUUAACCUAAAGGUUUUGUUUGAAUGAAUUUGUCUACUCGUAUUAUUAUGACUCUAUUCUUGGCCUAGCUCCAAAUGGAUUUGGAACAUGGUUCAUGUACAUGAAAAAUAAAUAGUCAGUAAAGGUUAAGUAGAGACUGUUCGUCCUUUCACCAUCUGUGCCCAAGGCUAAUGAUUGCGUCGGUUGUAUCCUGUGGAAAAUCCCACUUUUUUUUUUUCUCCAACAGUAGUGUUUCCUGUAUUGACAGAACAGAACCAAGCGACGUGGCGUACUUCAGUUUUUGUUUACUGUCUGGAAACGAUCUGAUCUGUGUACCAUAUGGGGUCAUGCAGUUUGAAGAAUGUGAUGCAAUCCGAGUCGCACAUCUCUUUUACAGUUUAUUAUCCUGCGUGUCCAAUGAAAAGUAUCGACUGAAAAGUAGCUCCAAAUUUCUAUUUUUAUUUUUUUACUUGGUUUUAAAAAAAUGGAAUGCUAAUUCCACAUUGACAUUCGCCACUUUGUGCGGCCUGCAACUGGCUGGCGACCAAUCUGGGGUGUACUGCUCCUCUCACCCAAAAAUCAGUUGGGAUAGCCUCCAACUUGCCUAUUGAGAACAAACAAAUCAUCGUGUAUUUCGUGCAGACGCCAGAAGGCAUCUUUUGUGUUUUGUCGAGGUCCCACCCAAUCUGUGUUGUGGCUUCGUUUUGUGUUCACCCCAAAUAUCAAGCAUUGAUUUUGCCAAUUUGUCACAACACGAGUGGAAGUCAUGGUGGGAGCCACAAAGGAUGCUCUGUGCUGGGACAGAAAACGGGGGUGUGGGGGCAGGGGGGUCAACAUCGGCUAUUAUUACUGAGUGUAUAAUUUGGAUGAGGUAGCGAACAGAGGUCCGUUUGUGAUGCCGGUGGCGCAUACAUUCAGAGAGGGCUCUUGUUUCACAGGAAGUUUGGCUGCCGCCCAGCCAGGUCACUUCCUGCUGAGGCGAGCCAGCCGCUCGGUCCGCUUCGCCACCGUUGUUGGAUCUGCACCGAGCCAGAACAUGUUCUCUUUUUGUCUUCAAUAGGCAGCUAGUUUUAGGUAAUGUGAACAGACUUGUAGGCUUGUGGUUCUCCAAGUGUGGUAUGCAGGCUCCCUCUAGUGGUGGCACAAAUAAAAUACUGCUUAAGUCGAGUUCAGUUGUAUUUAACUUUUAAGUUAAAUAUUUUUUGCAUUUAAAUCUUUAGGAACAGUUUUGAAUCAUCAGUCUGUAAAUGGCGCAGUAAGAGUGUUCAGAUUUGUAUUCGAUGUUCUGAUGUUUUUUUUUUAAAGUAAAUACAAUAUCCAAAAAGUAUCUCAUUUUGAAGGAUGGCUACUCCCCAUUGCCUCAUGCCAUAAUCCGGGUUACAUAUUAAAUUUGAUAAAAUAUUUUACCAGUGUUAAAAAUGUAAUUGUUUCAAGACAAACAUUUUCUGUGACAUUGUGGGUCCCUGGUGAGUCCUCAAAAAAAAUUGGGACAUUGCACUUUGGGGUGAAAUUUCAGAAUGAAUGAAUACAUUCACACGGGUGCCUUCUUCUACAACUUUCUGUGAAUCGCCCAGUCUCUGUAGCAACCUGUGAUGUCGUGUUCUGUAAAGCGGCUUUGUUCCAUCCAUGGCUCUUGUGAAAGCAGUUGAGUUGAGAGUACUCACAGAAAGGCAUCUAGGUGGACAUUAGAUGUUUUCAUAGAUUGCAUUUCAGAAUUUUCUAUUCAUAAAUGUCUCGUGACUGGAGUCAAUUCACGCUCUUUUCUUAUUACAAUUGGAAAAAAAAGUGGGGAGGUGGACACCACGAUGAAAACUGGAGACCGAUCAUGGUAUUGAUUUGUAUUAAAGCCACAUUUUAUUCCAUGCCUCAGUUGAUUGAUAAUGUCUGUUAACUGUCUAAUAAAUAGCAAGUGUCCGCGACGUCCAUAUGUUCCCAGUGAGUGGAAAAAAUUGAAAAUAUAAUACAAAAAAAUAUAUAAAAACAGACACUAGAAGUUAAGUUAUUGUAAAAUUAUAUUAACAAUCAAUCUUUCCUCAAUUUUGAAAAAAAAGUAGAAGCAAAUAAAAGACAACAUAGGACAGAUGUGUAAAGUUCGUAGGAGGGGGAAAAAAUGAACAAAAAAAAAACAUCGUCAUCGCAUUUACAAGACUGCUGCUGCUAAGUUUAUAACGGCGCCGAUUAACUUGGAAUAACUGGUACAAUAUACGGAGUCCAAGACUGUAUCAAAAUUUUACAUUUGAAAAAUGUGGGGUGAGCAAAAAAAAAAAAGCAAUUUCGAGAAGACCAGUAAAAAAAAAGAAAGAAGCAAGAGUCCACUAGGGGGCAGCACAAAGUAGAAACCUGUACACAACUCGAGUGUCUAUGGAAAGAUGAUUGAACAUUUAUUCCAUGUCGUUGAUAUCCAAGUUAAAGUAUGUCAACUGCCUAGUUGGUUACUAGUUACUAGUAAUUUUGCCUUACAUUUAACAUAUCAGUUGUCCUACUAGUGUCUGUCACCUUAACCUGAAAGUGUCUUUGCUUCAAUAGUAAGAACCAUUCCAGGUAAUUCUGACAAA